ensembl:lncRNA
UAAAGUAGCAGUCCUCUCUCUCCCACAGUGUGAAUAGAGCUGUAUCAGUAUAAAACUAUAUAUAUUGGUAGCUUAUUUCCACAUAGAAGGAAACAACCUAGGAGGGCUGGCCCAAUUCCAGAAAUUGCUUAUUGUUUUUUUUAAUUAUAUUGCAGUUGCUAUGCCCUUCUAAACUAUUUGCAGGAGACCUUAUACCAGAAGAAAGUGAGUUCAUUCUUGUUUAUUUGCCCUUAUCCAUAGAGACCCAUAAAAAGUUGCACCACCUCAGUUUUAUAGGUUCAGUUUGUCUUUGUGGGCAAGCUUGUCUGUUACACACAUCUGCAUCUAUGCUAGAGGAUAUAAAUGAUGAGUGUUUUGAUAAUAAUAAUGCAUCUUCAUCUCUCAUAUAACCCUAAUCUACUCAGUUUAUACUGGAACAAGUGCAGUUUAAUAGAAUAUUUCCAUCUGGUUGCUUACAGACCCGCUGCCCCCUCCAAAUCCUAGCUUCACUCUCUGUUGUUCAGUAUGGAACACAAUGAUUUACGCAUUCUGAUCGAACUUUCACUGCUGUUUUAUAGAUCAGUGUCUUGCCUCGCUUCUCUGAUGUGCAAAUGAAGCUCGUCCAGUAUGUGUUACUCAAGAAAGAAUUAAGAAAAUUGAAGUCAGAAUAUCUGAACUUGGAUCACUUGCAAAUAAGGAAGAUCUGCAUGCACGUGUUCUUUAAAGAUAAUGUUGAACGGAUCCAGAAACUGUUUUGGUAGCUGCAGUUUGCUUGUCUGAAAUCCCUUCAGAAGCUUGAGUGCAAAGCAAGCACAGUACUAGUGAUGGAUGUGAAUGGAUAUCUUAAGGAUAACAGUGGAUAUGGUGUCUUCAGAAACGGUGGCAUUAUGGUAAGAAUCUGCAUGUAAUUUAUGAAAUAAUACGUGAUAGUUCUCCAUAGAACGUGUUUGUAUCUCUGAAGAUUUAUCCAAUCACUUAAUGUUUUUCUAAAAUGUUGAAGGUAAGAGGAUUGCUCUAUAUCUUGCAGCAUUUUAAAGUCUGAAACAGUGUACAACUUUAGUUUACUUAGCAGUGACUUUUUUUCACGUUAAAAAAAAGUAAAUGUAACUUUUUAGGAAAAUAAGCUAUUUUAGAGUAGUAGUUCAAUGCCAUUUAUGGCUCACUGCUUCUGAGUCUGUUUCUCUGAAUACUUACAACUGAAUAUUUUCAAACUGAAUUAAAACAAAUGGUUUUGUUUGGUUUUUUUGCACUCGCACUCAACACUCUAACCUUCAGUGACAUAUUUUACCACUGUGCAUGUAACUAUUCUAACAGGCAUUAUAAAAAACAACCAAACUUUGCAGAAGAUACAAAACACAUACGUAUUUAUUGACAAAUUAAUCAUAUCUGGAGGCUUUUAAUCCUUGUAUAGAUUUUAAAUAUAUAUAUAUAUAUAACAGUAACAUAUUAAAUUACUGGUACUUCUUUGUUGGAAGUUGAUCACACUAUUUGAAUAAUGUACACGAUUAGAUAAUCCAAGUAGAAACACCGGUGGAAAUUUUACCGUAACUACAGUCCAGUCUAGUAAAAGUGGUUCCUUUUAAUUUAGUCUUUGAAAUAAUUUAGGCCAGCAAUUCCUCAGGCAAAAAAUCUUGUUUCCACCAAACCCAGUUAUGUUUUUAUUUGUGUAUAUAUUGAUUUCUUGAAAUUCACAAAGAAUUUGUGCCUCUGUUUUUCUUCCUACUCUUUGAAUCCUGGUAGUUGCUACUGCAGUGGAACUGU